rnacentral:rRNA from 1 species
CGGGAUAACCCGGAGAAAUCCGGCCUAAUACCGCAUGUGGCCGAGGGGAGGCAUCUUCUUUCGGCCAAAGGAGGCGACUCCGGAGACGGAUGGGCAUGCGUGACAUUAGCUUGUUGGCGGGGUAACGGCCCACCAAGGCGACGAUGUCUAGGGGUUCUGAGAGGAAGGUCCCCCACACUGGUACUGAGACACGGACCAGACUCCUACGGGAGGCAGCAGUGAGGAAUAUUGGUCAAUGGGCGAGAGCCUGAACCAGCCAAGUCGCGUGAAGGAUGACGGCCCUACGGGUUGUAAACUUCUUUUGUCAGGGAGCAAUUGGGUCCACGUGUGGGCUUAGCGAGAGUACCUGAAGAAAAAGCAUCGGCUAACUCCGUGCCAGCAGCCGCGGUAAUACGGAGGAUGCGAGCGUUAUCCGGAUUUAUUGGGUUUAAAGGGUGCGUAGGCGGAAUAUCAAGUCAGCGGUAAAAAUUCGGGGCUCAACCCCGUCGUGCCGUUGAAACUGAUGUUCUUGAGUGGGCGAGAAGUAUGCGGAAUGCGUGGUGUAGCGGUGAAAUGCAUAGAUAUCACGCAGAACUCCGAUUGCGAAGGCAGCAUACCGGCGCCCAACUGACGCUGAAGCACGAAAGCGUGGGUAUCGAACAGGAUUAGGUACCCUGGUAGUCCACGCAGUAAACGAUGAA